UGUGACAUACCACUUGUUGCCUCGGCGGAUCAGCCCGCUCCCGGUAAAACGGGACGGCCCGCCAGAGGACCCCUAAACUCUGUUUCUAUAUGUAACUUCUGAGUAAAACCAUAAAUAAAUCAAAACUUUCAACAACGGAUCUCUUGGUUCUGGCAUCGAUGAAGAACGCAGCAAAAUGCGAUAAGUAAUGUGAAUUGCAGAAUUCAGUGAAUCAUCGAAUCUUUGAACGCACAUUGCGCCCGCCAGUAUUCUGGCGGGCAUGCCUGUUCGAGCGUCAUUUCAACCCUCAAGCACAGCUUGGUGUUGGGACUCGCGUUAAUUCGCGUUCCCCAAAUUGAUUGGCGGUCACGUCGAGCUUCCAUAGCGUAGUAGUAAAACCCUCGUUACUGGUAAUCGUCGCGGCCACGCCGUUAAACCCCAACUUCUGAAUGUUGACCUCGGAUCAGGUAGGAAUACCCGCUGAACUUAAGCAUAUCAAU
rnacentral:rRNA from 1 species